AGGAAACGUGGGGCUAAUACCGGAUAGGAGCUCCUGCUGCAUGGUGGGGGUUGGAAAGUUUCGGCGGUUGGGGAUGGACUCGCGGCUUAUCAGCUUGUUGGUGGGAUAGUGGCUUACCAAGGCUUUGACGGGUAGCCGGCCUGAGAGGGUGACCGGCCACAUUGGGACUGAGAUACGGCCCAG
rnacentral:rRNA from 1 species